GACGAACGCUGGCGGCGUGCUUAACACAUGCCAGUCGAACGGAAAGGCCCUGCUUUUGUGGGGUGCUCGAGUGGCGAACGGGUGAGUAACACGUGAGUAACCUGCCCUUGACUUUGGGAUAACUCCAGGAAACUGGGGCUAAUACCGGAUAGGAGCUCCUGCUGCAUGGUGGGGGUUGGAAAGUUUCGGCGGUUGGGGAUGGACUCGCGGCUUAUCAGCUUGUUGGUGGGGUAGUGGCUUACCAAGGCUUUGACGGGUAGCCGGCCUGAGAGGGUGACCGGCCACAUGAGGACUAAGAGACGGCCCAGACUCCUACGGGAGGCAGCAGUGGGGAAUAUUGCACAAUGGGCGGAAGCCUGAGGCAGCAACGCCGCGUGCGGGAUGACGGCCUUCGGGUUGUAAACCGCUUUCGCCUGUGACGAAGCGUGAGUGACGGUAAUGGGUAAAGAAGCACCGGCUAACUACGUG
rnacentral:rRNA from 1 species